rnacentral:misc_RNA from 1 species
CAACCCUUAAGCUUAGCUUAGUGUUGGGAGAUUACCCUGUAGUAACUCCCUAAAACCAUUGGCAGAGUCAAUACACCUCUGAGCGCAGUAAUUUUCUUCUCGCUUCUGUGGCCUGUAUUAACGAUCGCCAUAAACCUAUUAUUUUUCAAU